AUCUCCGACAAUCACAUAUGCCAAUGAGGUAAUGUCACCGGUGUGAAUUCACUUCUCAUUUGGUGUUGCUGGUUACAUUGUGCUCAACAAUCAGCACACAUGUAUUUAUACCUGGAAGUUAUAGAUGCACUCUAGAAUUAGUUCGAGUUCAGUUCUUGGAUCUUCUUACUCAUAGCAAUUGUUUUGUAUUUUAAUUUUGCACAGAAGUCUACUGAAAACAGCAUGUUUGUACAAACUGGCUGCAUCUUUUUAUUGUGUGCUAUCUGUAGGUGCAGCCAUUAUCAAAUCAAGGUGCUCUUGUAUGGUGAGCGAUAUAUCUUUCUUCAAUCUCUAGAAUAAGUGCACUAUCAGGUGGGCUCUAAUGGCGAGCAAGCGCGUGGCAAGCUGCUAUUUCCUACAUAUUUCCUACCUAGUUUGAUAAAGUUUACGGCUUUUCUCAUAAAAAAUAGCACGAACCUUGAUGCACAGUUGAGAUGUAUAUGGCCUAGGCGCCAUUUUUUUUCUUUUCGAUUUGAGAUGGGAUCUGCUUGGCUUUUGGGAUCCUUGUAUGGAUCCAUUUGGCAUCUUUUUGUUCAAAUUCAUAGUACAGUACUUUAUAUGGAUCCGGUAUUCCGCUGCAUGUUUGUAUGGAUACCUUUAAAAUGGAUCUAUAUUUCUUGAAAAUGAGUGUGCAACUACACACAACUUUACGAUGA